rnacentral:rRNA from 1 species
CUGUCCUACGGGACGCAGCAGUAGGGAAUCUUCGGCAAUGGACGAAAGUCUGACCGAGCAACGCCGCGUGAGUGAAGAAGGUUCUCGGAUCGUAAAGCUCUGUUGUAAGAGAAGAACGUGUGUGAGAGUGGAAAGUUCACACAGUGACGGUAACUUACCAGAAAGGGACGGCUAACUACGUGCCAGCAGCCGCGGUAAUACGUAGGUCCCGAGCGUUAUCCGGAUUUAUUGGGCGUAAAGCGAGCGCAGGCGGUUGGAUAAGUCUGAAGUUAAAGGCUGUGGCUCAACCA